GAUGAACGCUGGCGGCGUGCCUAAUACAUGCAAGUCGAGCGAACGGACGAGAAGCUUGCUUCUCUGAUGUUAGCGGCGGACGGGUGAGUAACACGUGGAUAACCUACCUAUAAGACUGGGAUAACUUCGGGAAACCGGAGCUAAUACCGGAUGAUAUUUUGAACCGCAUGGUUCAAAAGUGAAAGACGGUCUUGCUGUCACUUAUAGAUGGAUCCGCGCUGCAUUAGCUAGUUGGUAAGGUAAUGGCUUACCAAGGCAACGAUGCAUAGCCGACCUGAGAGGGUGAUCGGCCACACUGGAACUGAGACACGGUCCAGACUCCUACGGGAGGCAGCAGUAGGGAAUCUUCCGCAAUGGGCGAAAGCCUGACGGAGCAACGCCGCGUGAGUGAUGAAGGUCUUCGGAUCGUAAAACUCUGUUAUUAGGGAAGAACAUAUGUGUAAGUAACUGUGCACAUCUUGACGGUACCUAAUCAGAAAGCCACGGCUAACUACGU
rnacentral:rRNA from 1 species